rnacentral:antisense_RNA from 1 species
UUUAAACGAACUCCCAAGAAGGCAACAGGGACCCACUGUACCCCAAGAGGCACUCCAAGUUUCCUUCAGAGAGGAAAAAGAGAGAUGGGGCUCCCAGAACCCACUCUCCCCAAAGGCGAGUUUCCCAGACGCCGCUCGUGCUGUUGCUGGAAAGCGAGCUCGCUGUAGACCGGCCGCGACACCACGUAGCUGCAGCUGUACUCGGGGAGCUGCGGCGGCUCCGACCUGCCGCGUGGCGCUGCCAUGACCUGCGAGCCAGAGGACAGCGAGGAGGGAGGAGACGCGGUAAGGGAGGACGAUCGCAGGUGAAGAGCGAGGAGCAGAAAGAACGGGAUCACCUGUUAGCUGCAGCCCGGCCCCCCUGCACCGCGAGUCUGGUCCGCGUCCUGCAGCCCUCGGCGCUGGCGACAAGCGCCCCACGGCGCGCACGGCCAGCCUGCAGGGGGGCACCUGAGAACCUUCGGGUCUCGCGGCCUGCACCCGCUGCCCGGGGUUCCCCAAACUUGAAGAGAGUAAGCCCUGCUCUGGGGACUUCCCGAGCUCCACUCAGUCCCCUAUGGCCCGCAGCCAGGGCGCUGUCCGCGU